GGCAGAACCCUCGACCUUCAGGCCCGAAGUCCAGCGAGCUAUCGACUGUGCCCCAAAAGCUGUGCCCCUCCGCGUUUAUAAACCCAGGGUCGUUACAAUAUUAUAGUGUCAAAAUGUAUUACAAAGUGCAAAUAGGAUAAUUAUGGUCAUAAAGUCAGCCUCGUCCAAAACAUAGUUUUGUAAUUGAAUUCGUCACGAUUUACUGGAUGGUUGGGUAUGGAUUAUGAUCAUGCCCACUUUUGCCAAUUAUGCCAAAUUGCAGGGAAAACACGUUGUAGUCCGCAUCCAGCUGACAUGUGUUGUCAAGGCUGCAUAUGGGUGGAACGCACAUUUCGCUCUGCAAUUAUGAGUGAAAAUGGGCUUCCAUGAAGUUGGUGCAAACUUCCAAUACAUUUCAACAAUAUUGCCAGGAGUGGAUUACAUUCGACACGGUCACUUCUGCUGCCUGUCAACCGUCAAACCACUGCACUGGUGUUGGCUACGUACAAGAUCUGGUUGAUUUGUAGUUCAGCAAUGUUGUUGGAACCCCCCUGCCAUAUCAGGAGCUGUUACAGAAGGCUGAGGCAGUGGCCAUACACCAGUCCUGCUUGAGAGUAAUGGAGGACACUUGAAUCAGGUUGGUCACAUUUGAUCUGGUCAAUGGUCAAAAUACUAUCUGUCCUGGAAUUCACCUAACCACCAUUGAUAAUGUAAUCAGUGCUCUGUGUAUAUGUGUGUCUUGUACUGUACGUUGUAAGAAAGCUGCCCCCUUCCAAUGGACUAUUGGGCCCAGAGUGAGUAAUGCCAACAAGUCAGUGCCAUGCUGGCAUGUGUCCCUUGUGAAUCAGGAUCUCUGAUUGGCUAUUUCAACUGUGUAUUUACUGUUGGCUUCCAUGACUGUAUGGUGACAGUAUUUCUCUCCCUCCCUCUGUGAUAUAGGAGCUGGGUCGGAUAUAGGAGCCGUAGUCGGGCUUCUGCAUGACCAGUAUCUGUGAUGAGAGGGACCUGGAGCUGAUCUACGCUGCCAUGCCAAUCAGGCGUUGGCAAACGCCUCAAAAGGGACAAACAGUGAUUACUAAUAAGACAGUACAUCAUUAUCACCCUUUCAAUGUGUCACUCAUCAACUCUUCCUUGGUUUUCUACAGAUGGGAAGAAGAGUUGCUUUUCAGAUGGAGUCCUCUGACUGAAAGACAGGUUAAUACUGAUGUCAGAAUUGGGAGAGACCUUGCAACUCAGCAUAAAAAUUUUACAAGACAUCUA
ensembl:lncRNA